UACGUAGGCAGCGAGCGUUGUUCGGAGUUACUGGGCGUAAAGGGUGCGCAGGUGGGUUUGCAAGUUCGAUGUGAAAGCCCCCGGCUCAACUGGGGAGGGUCACGCGAUACUGAUCGACUCGAAGGCAGGAGAGGGUAGUGGAAUUCCCGGUGUAGCGGUGAAAUGCGCAGAUAUCAGGAGGAACACCGGUGGCGAAGGCGGUUCUCUGGGCAUGAUCUGACGCUGAGGAGCGAAAGUGUGGGGAGCGAACAGG
rnacentral:rRNA from 1 species